UGGAGUGUCUGGUCUACCAGCGGUAAGAUAUACAACAGUAUGAAAACAAACAGCAGCUGAUGAGAAAUUAAUUUCAACCGCAAGUUCAAUACCACGGCUGUCGAAAAGUUAUCAGAUGACGUUUAUGUUUGAGGAAUUACGAAGGAACACCAAACCUUUGAACUAAGAUGGGAAGUACGAUUGACAUACUGUGUGAUCGAAAGAAACUGAAAAUCCUCGUUUAUAGAUGUCUUUUACAAACUGGGCCAUACAUAAGCUGUUGAAUCUUAAUACUGAAAAAAAAUCUUUAUGUUCAAGCCUUUAACUUGGAGGCAGUGGGGGGUUUGGUGGGCAGUGAGAAAAAAAUCAAAAAUUGUGUACUGUUAAGUUAUUUAUAUAAUGAAAAAAUGACUGUCUUGUGUUUCGUAUUCGGUUACAAGCUACCUAAGAGGUGCUACAGUCCAAGGUGAGGCAUGUUAAAACACCUUGUCCAUAUAUCAAAAAGAUGUAUAGCAAUUGGCAAUGCACAGAUAGUUCUCGAAAUCAAAUAAUUUAAAAACAAAGAGCUCUCUGUUUCUUCUAAUAGCACUCACUCUAUUUCGAACAGCUGCGUUUUAAUUGCACAAAUUGAAGUUAUUAAUAGUAAAGUUCGUUUAUAAAUUGUGAUAUAUACGA